CUCAAAUACUCCUUCUCCAUUUGCACGGCUUGUGUUAUUUAAAAAAGUUUUAUGAUUAGUAUUUUUAUUGUUAUUAGAUGAUAAAACAAAAAUAAUAUUUUAUGUGUGACUAUUUUUAAAAAAUACAAAAUUUUCAAUAAAACAAGCGGUCAAAUGUUGGACACGGAAAUCCACAAAUAUAGUCAUA
rnacentral:pre_miRNA from 1 species